ACGGAUCUGAGCAAAUCUCCCCAUGGUCACAGUAAGAAAGUUCAUCCUAAGAAAUUUGGUCGUGAUUCAAGCCGAGACCUUAGCGUUCCAGUGUUGAUUCGGACUAUUAGAAGAUUGACAAAGGAGAAGGUGCUAAAAAAGGAAGAAAAUAUCAACCAGCUCACAAAUGAUUUGCAAGAAUGCAUG